GUGUCUGCUGAGACGUCAUCGAGUAGCCGCUAGAAUAUGGCUGAGGCGGUGGACUUGGAGUGUCAAUAAUACCGCUGAGUACCACUGUCUUCCCCUGGUAACCACUGUUGAUGCACCCUUACUCUUACUCUGGCCUCCAAGCAAGGUGACUCCACAAAGCACUGCUGGCAAAGUGAGACAAGAGAAAGAAGCUAAGAACUGGGCAUUGGGAAAAGAAGAAGGAGAAGGAGAAGCAGAAGAAAGAAGAAGCUAAGAAACAGCACAUAACAGAG